GGGGUAUGGAGAACUUUUUUAACUUCAUAGAAAAUAUUACUAGAUAAAAAAGUAUUUUUUGUAGAAAAGGAUCAGCACACUGUCCUUUCUUUGGAUCAUGUGGUUCUUGAAAAAUAAUUUUAAAACUUUAAGAGAGGACUGUGAGGGGGAACGUGGAUGGAGAAAGGCCAGGAAGAGAGAUGCACGCCAGACUCCAGCUGUCUCUGUCAUGCUGAAGAGGGACAGAGGCAUGGGCUUGUCCCAUGCCUGUCCUGGCCUUCCUUGACCUGUGCCCAUUGUUUAGGAGGAAUAUGCAAAGUGGAACGUGCAACCGGCCAUCAGAUGAUGGAACUCACAUCUGGAAUGUCUUAGUUCCAACAGUGAGGUCUUGGAUUCAUUAGCACAUGCUGUCUCUCUUUCUUUCCAUUUCUUGUGUGGUGCUGAGGACCAGUCUUGUUAGAGAGCAACUGUGUUAACUGGGAGCUGAGUUUGAAACUCAGUGUUAGGUCUCUUGAUUCACCUAUCUCUCAGGUAACUUUAUGGAAUUUUAAAUUCCAUUCUAUAGACGCUUAUAAACCUUAUUGUGGCAUAUAUAGUCAAUUUAAAUUUCUUUCCUAAUAAAAACUUUCCUGGACUUUUUCAUUUUUAUGUUAGGAAGGAAAUGAUUAUAGAACUGUCUGAAUUAAUGGUUGCCCUUUCAUGACUAUGUUGUUGAUGUCUCUUAAUGUGGCUUUGUCCUUUAGUGAGGAACGGCUCUCAGCUCUCUCCUGGCCCGUCAUCCUUGCUGAGCAGAGCAGGCUCUGCCCCUAGGCGCUGGACAGCCUCUCCCCACAGUGUCACCCACUGGACAGUCAGCGAGCUCAAACUCUGCCCUGGGAGGGCAGCCACAGCGGAGGCAGGGCCUGCUCCAAAAGUGCUGCCAGAAAAGUUGUUCAAGCUUGUACAGCAACAUCUAGAGUAAAAUGAAGAAAAGAAAAAAGGAAGAAGAUAAUUCAGGAAGCAAGUGGGAUCUAUUUCUCAGUCAAAUCUCACUCUUCAUGUUGAUAUUCUUUAUGACCUGUUGUGG
rnacentral:lncRNA from 1 species